AGUCUUAUAUUCAAAAAAAAAUGAUAUAAAAUUGCAAAUUUUAUGGUGUAUAAAUACUAAGGCUU
rnacentral:tRNA from 1 species